rnacentral:rRNA from 1 species
GGGCCCGCACAAGCGGAGGAACAUGUGGUUUAAUUCGAUGAUACGCGAGGAACCUUACCCGGGCUUGAAAGUUACUGACGAUUCUGGAAACAGGAUUUCCCUUCGGGGCAGGAAACUAGGUGCUGCAUGGUUGUCGUCAGCUCGUGCCGUGAGGUGUCGGGUUAAGUCCCAUAACGAGCGCAACCCCUACCGUUAGUUGCCAUCAGGUCAAGCUGGGCACUCUGACGGGACUGCCGGUGUAAGCCGAGAGGAAGGUGGGGAUGACGUCAAAUCAGCACGGCCCUUACGUCCGGGGCUACACACGUGUUACAAUGGUAGGUACAGAGGGUCGCUACCCCGCGAGGGGAUGCUAAUCUCGAAAGCCUAUCUCAGUUCGGAUCGGAGGCUGAAACCCGCCUCCGUGAAGUUGGAUUCGCUAGUAAUCGCGCAUCAGCCAUGGCG